rnacentral:rRNA from 1 species
CAUUGUCGAAAUCAAAUGGAAGAACGACCCGCGAACAGUCUUGUGUCCUAUAGAGGGCCUGUGGGCAUAACGCUUGCGCGGCUCGCAUCGCGUCUGUGUGGAUGCACGCCAGGCUCGCCUCGUACCGACGGUGUACCUUUUUCAGCACGGAUCGUGCCAAGGAGCUGCAUAGAGAGUAUCGUCGUCCCAUGCCUUGGGUUGCCCUCGUUGGUGACUGCGGCAGGGAUGCGCGUGGCCUCUACCAAGAAGUCUAAAUGACUCUCGGCAACGGAUAUCUCGGUUCUUGCAUCGAUGAAGAACGUAGCGAAAUGCGAUACUUGGUGUGAAUUGUAGAAUCCCGCGAACCAUCAAUUCUUUGAACGCAAGUUGCGCCCGAGGCCAUUCGGCCGAGGGCACGCCUGCCUGGGUGUCGUGAAUCCCGUUGCCCCCGUGCACUUGUCCUCGUGCAUCUCAUUGCCUGGGUCAAUGUUGGGGCGCAUAAUGUGGUUCUCCCGUGAGAUUUGCACGUGCGUCGUGUCGUCUAGCGGUUGGCCGAAAUUUGAGCUUGUAGGUGAAGUGAACCGCAGCGUUAUGUGGAUCUACUUAGAUUGGCUGCGUUGUGGUCUCGUCAUGCGUCUCGCUCUUGGCUUUGAUCAUUUUGAGUGCGA